GUGAGGAAUAUUGGACAAUGGAUGGAAAUCUGAUCCAGCCAUGCCGCGUGCAGGAAGACGGCCCUAUGGGUUGUAAACUGCUUUUAUACGGGAGCAAUAAGGUCUAUGCAUAGAUUGAUGAGAGUACCGUAUGAAUAAGCAUCGGCUAACUCCGUGCCAGCAGCCGCGGUAAUACGGAGGAUGCGAGCGUUAUCCGGAUUUAUUGGGUUUAAAGGGUGCGUAGGCGGCUUUGUAAGUCAGCGGUGAAAUUUUGCAGCUUAACUGUAAAAGCGCCGUUGAUACUGUGAAGCUAGGAUUUGGUUGCUGUGGGCGGAAUGUGUGGUGUAGCGGUGAAAUGCAUAGAGAUCACACAGAAUAUCGAUUGCGGAGGCAGCUCACAAAGCCAAUAUUGACGCUGAGGCACGAAAGUGUGGGGAUCAAACAGGAUUAGAAACCCCGGUAGUCC
rnacentral:rRNA from 1 species